rnacentral:lncRNA from 1 species
GGCAGUGAAGAAUGGGACGGGGCGGAAAGAACGCGGAGCGCGAAUGCUCAAGGCGGCUUGGAGAACCGAGCUUGGAAUCCCGGCGGGGUCAGGCCUUAGUUUGCCAACCCCUGUUGUAAGGUAUUGCAGCUGAACAGGAUGGAAGUUUCUGAAGACCCUUGCCCGAAAAGAAGUUGGACUCUAGGAGGGAAGACAGACAAUUCUGGAGGCUCGACGUCUGAAACCAAGAUACUUUGCACCAUGCUCACCUUCGUGAUGAACAUUGAUUGGCAUUAGACUAAGAGCUGUGAGAGGCAGAAAAGGAAAAAACACAGGCCUUGACCUGUAGGACUUAAUAGCUACCUUAGAUAAUAAUUACUGUUUACUAGGCACUGUUGUCCGUCAAUCCUCAAACAAUCCUAAGAGAUAGGUACUGUUGUCAUCAUCUCUGUGUGACGGAUGAGGAAACUGAGGCACAACCAAAGUAAGAGGCAGGGUUUUGAAUCUGGGCCGCCGGGCUCGCGAAUUCAUGCUCUUCAUUGCACACCACAUCACCUAUUUAGUUUAGUGGGGGAUGGACGCAUAAAUAAAUAGAUACAGGGCACAAUGGUAGAUGCGCAAAGUACCACAGGAGCACAAGAGGCCCACUGCGCUCAGGAUUUGAGGAGGGGGCACCACGAGAGAGGCAUUUCCUGAAUGAGAUGGCACCUGGGCAGUGUCGGAAAGCACGAAGAGGAAUCAGCUGGGAACAGAAGGGAGGAAAGAAAACUGCAGCCAGAGAGGAGGGCAUG